rnacentral:rRNA from 1 species
UUGUUCACAAUGGGCGCAAGCCUGAUGACGCAACGCCGCGUGGAGGAUGAAGGUCUUCGGAUUGUAAACUCCUGUUGCUCGGGACGAAAAGCUCUGACCUAACACGUCAGAGUCUGACGGUACCGGGUGAGGAAGCCCCGGCUAACUCUGUGCCAGCAGCCGCGGUAAUACAGAGGGGGCAAGCGAUGUUCGGAAUUACUGGGCGUAAAGGGCGCGUAGGCGGCCUUCUAAGUCAGACGUGAAAUCCCCGGGCUCAACCCGGGAACUGCGUCUGAUACUGGAGGGCUUGAAUCCGGGAGAGGGAUGUGGAAUUCCAGGUGUAGCGGUGAAAUGCGUAGAUAUCUGGAGGAACACCGGUGGCGAAGGCGGCAUCCUGGACCGGUAUGACGCUGAGGCGCGAG